rnacentral:rRNA from 1 species
AAUCUUCGGCAAUGGACGAAAGUCUGACCGAGCACCUCCGCGUGAGCGUGGAAGGUUUUCGGAUCGUAAAGCUCUGUUGCCAGGGAAGAAGGAUCUUCAGAGUAACUGCUGGAGGUUUGACGGUAUCUGAGAAGCAAGCCCCGGCUAACUACGUGCUAGCAGCCGCGGUAAUACGUAGGGGGCAAGCGUUGUCCGGAAUUAUUGGGCGUAAAGCGCGCGCAGGCGGUUCUUUAAGGCUGGUGUAUAAGCCCGGGGGUCAACCACGGGACGGAAGGGAAACUGGGGGGCUGGAGUGCAGGAGAGGAAAGUGGAAUUCCACGUGUAGCGGUGAUAUGCGUAGAGAUGUGGAGGAACACCAGUGGCGAAGGCGACUUUCUGGCCUGUAACUGACGCUGAGGCGCGAAAGCGUGGGGAGCAAACA